UAAUUUCUGGAAUAUUUGUGAGACUCUAUAGUUUGAACCUACAUUACAUUAACGGGAGUUCGACAUUUAGCUGUGGAUAUGUACUUUCUUGUGAGACCUUUUGACGGCUUUGAGAGCGAUAGAAACAUCUGUGAGGGCACCAACCUAUCGAAGAGAUAGGUGUCAAAAUUAGGGCGGCGGUAUUUCGGAUUUUAA
rnacentral:other from 1 species